UCCUACGGGAGGCAGCAGUGGGGAAUCUUGCACAAUGGGCGAAAGCCUGAUGCAGCAACGCCGCGUGAGUGAAGAAGGCCUUUGGGUUGUAAAGCUCUUUCGGCUGGGGAGAAGGGAGUAUGGGCUAAUACCUCAUAUUUUUGACGGUACCAGCAUAAGAAGCACCGGCUAAUUCCGUGCCAGCAGCCGCGGUAAUACGGGAGGUGCAAGCGUUGUUCGGAGUGACUGGGCGUAAAGCGCACGUAGGUGGGCUCGUAAGUCGAAUGUGAAAUCCCCGGGCUUAACCUGGGAACUGCAUCCGAAACUACAAGUCUUGAAUGCUUCAGAGGUUGGUAGAAUUCCAGGUGUAGGAGUGAAAUCCGUAGAGAUCUGGAGGAAUACCGGAGGCGAAGGCGGCCAACUGGGAAUGCAUUGACACUGAGGUGCGAAAGCGUGGGGAGCAAACAGGAUUAGAUACCCCUGUAGUC
rnacentral:rRNA from 1 species